rnacentral:rRNA from 1 species
UACGUAGGGAGCAAGCGUUGUCCGGAAUCAUUGGGCGUAAAGCGCGCGUAGGUGGCCUCAUAAGUCCGCUGUGAAAGUCAAAGGCUCAACCUUUGAAAGCCGGUGGAUACUGUGAGGCUAGAGUACGGAAGAGGCGAGUGGAAUCCUGGUGUAGCGGUGGAAUGCGCAGAUAUUGGGAGGAACGACCGGUGGCGCAAGGGCGGCAGCACUGGA